rnacentral:rRNA from 1 species
GAUGGGAAACAGGUUAAUAUUCCUGUACUUGGUGUUACUGCGAAGGGGGGACGGAGAAGGCUAGGCUAGCCGGGCGACGGUUGUCCCGGUUUAAGCGUGUAGGGGGUGUGACCUGGUAAAUCCGGUUACAUACUAACCCUGAGGCGUGAUGACGAUGCACUACGGUGCAGAAGUAGUUGAUGCCCUGCUUCCAGGAAAAGCCUCUAAGCAUCAGGUAACAUUGAAUCGUACCCCAAACCGACACAGGUGGUCAGG